rfam:Gossypium raimondii Chr01_contig_11, whole genome shotgun sequence.
UAUUAAAAAUUUCAUCUAUUUCUACUAUUAAAAACUGACAUGGUUAACGAAAUAAUCAGACAGUUACACGUGUACCUCAUACUAAGGUACAUGGAUCAAUUUUUAACAAUAGAAAUGAAUGGAUUUUUUACAA